rnacentral:rRNA from 1 species
UACAGAGGUCCCGAGCGUUGUUCGGAUUCACUGGGCGUAAAGGGUGCGUAGGUGGUUGUGCAAGUCUGAUGUGAAAUCUCCGGGCUUAACCCGGAAAUGGCAUUGGAAACUGCAUGGCUAGAGGGUUGGAGGGGGGGACUGGAAUACUUGGUGUAGCAGUGAAAUGCGUAGAUAUCAAGUGGAACACCAGUGGCGAAGGCGAGUCCCUGGACAACACCUGACACUGAGGCACGAAAGCUAGGGGGGAGCAAACAGG